rnacentral:rRNA from 1 species
CUGGUUGAUCCUGCCAGUAGUGAUAUGCUUGUCUCAAAGAUUAAGCCAUGCAUGUCUAAGUACAGGCCUCAUUARGGUGAAACCGCGAAUGGCUCAUUAAAUCACACCUAAUAUACUGGAUAGUCUCCCCACUCGGAUAACUGCGGUAAUUCUGGAGCUAAUACAUGCGUUUAAGCCGCCUGUACUCUGUAUUUGGCGGCGCUUUUAUUAGAUCAAAACCAAACGCCUUUUGGCGUCCCCCUGGUGACUCUGAAUAACUUUUUGCUGAUCGCACGACUUCUCGUCGGCGAAGUAUCUUUGUAAGGUGUGCCCUAUCAACUGUCGACUGUGGCAUAGACGCCCACAGUGGUUUUGACGGGUAACGGGGAAUCAGGGUUCUAUCCCGGAGAGGGAGCCUGAGAAACGGCUACCACUGCCAAGGCAGGCAGCAGGCACGCAAAUUACCCACUGGUCGAAGACCGAGGUAGUGACGAAAAAUAACGAUACCGGACUCAUCCGAGGCCCGGUAAUCGGAAUGAGUACACUUUAAAUCCUUUAGCGAGGAACCAUUGGAGGGCAAGUCUGGUGCCAGCAGCCGCGGUAAUUCCAGCUCCAAUAGCGUAUACUAAAUUUGUUGCGGUUAAAAAGCUCGUAGUUGGAUCUCGGCGGGUGGGGGUCGGUUGGUUGUUUGACCAGACUGGCUUUUUUUUGCCCGUGAAAAUGUCGGAGGUACGCGGGUGCUCUUAAUCGAGUGUGCGCGUGCGCCGUCAGGUUUACUUUGAAAAAAUUAGAGUGCUCAAAGCAGGCUUUACAGGCUUGAAUAUUCGUGCAUGGAAUAAUGGAAUAGGACGUCGUUUCUAUUUUGUUGGUUUUCGGAAAUCGACGUAAUGAUUAAUAGGGACAGUCGGGGGCAUUAGUAUUCAGACGACAGAGGUGAAAUUCUUGGACCGUCUGAAGACUGACUACUGCGAAAGCAUUUGCCAAGGAUGUUUUCAUUAAUCAAGAACGAAAGUUGGAGGAUCGAAGGCGAUCAGAUACCGCCGUAGUUCCAACCAUAAACGAUGCCGACCAGCGAUCUGCGGGCGUUUCAUGAUGACCCCGCAGGCAGCCCAUGGGAAACCAGAGUCUUCGGGUUCUGGGGGGAAUAUAGCUGCAAAGCUGAAACUUAAAGGAAUUGACGGAAGGGCACCACCAGGAGUGGAGCCUGCGGCUUAAUUUGACUCAACACGGGAAAACUCACCCGGCCCGGACACAGUAAGGAUUGACAGACUGAGAGCUCUUUCUCGAUUCUGUGGUAGGUGGUGCAUGGCCGUUCUUAGUUGGUGGGGUGACUUGUCUGGUUAAUUCCGAUAACGAACGAGACUCCAGCUUGCUAAAUAGGGGGUCGGCUGCGCAUGCGUGGCCAGGUCAUUUUCCUUCUUAGAAGGAGGACCAGCGUCUAGCUGGAUGAAAUGGAGCAAUAACAGGUCUGUGAUGCCCUUAGAUGUUCGGGGCCGCACGCGCGCUACAAUGGAAGGCUCAGCGGGUGUGACUUCCCUGCGCCGAGAGGCGUGGGUAACCCUUUCAGAACCUUCCGUGCUUGGGAUAGCGGUUUGCAAUUGUCCCCCUUGAACGAGGAAUUCCCAGUAAACGCAAGUCAUAAGCUUGCAUUGAUUACGUCCCUGCCCUUUGUACACACCGCCCGUCGCUACUACCGAUUGAGUGACCCGGUGAGCUCAUUGGAUCUUGGGUCGUUGGGGCAACCCGGCGAUCCGACGAGAAGCUGCGCAAGCCGUAUCACUUAGAGGAAGUAAAAGUCGUAACAAGGUUACCGUAGGUGAAC